CACGUAGUUUCUAUAUUCCCUACAGUAUUCUAUUUAUGUUCCCAGUGGAAAAGGGAAAGUCUCAUUGUAUCUAAUGUUAGAACAUACAACUUAAAAAAACAAGCAAAACAACAACAAAAAACAAAAUUCAGGAUGUGAACCUCUAGGGAUAUUCAAAAUAUCUGUAAAAACACUGCAAAUUAAGCGUUUGUAGCUUCACUAUGAAGGUUCUGGAAAACUCUGACCCUACCUUCUGCUCUCUGAUUAUUUCCUCCUAGAAACCUCCAACUAUUGCUGCUAUAUUCAAACUUCUCACCUGGCAGCUUUCUUUGCCUCCUCGUUCAUGCCAAAGGUCAUGCACCCUUUGCUGCUGACAGCCAUUUAUGACCGGAGAACUGCCUUUCUCUUAAUAUAAGGGAUGGUCACUUUGCAAACUGGGAAUAGAGGCUGUCCUGGGAAUACAUAGCAGCAUGGAAAAAGGUCUGGAGAGUGGUGUGCGAGAAGCUAAUGUUGCACUGAGGCUGCUGGAGCUGUUGGGAUGGAGUGGGCAAUGAGAGGAUGUGAUAAGAUAGAAGGUCAAGACGUUGACUGGGACAGAGUUCUGUGGUAAUGAGGAAAACUUUGCAUUUGAAUCAGUGUACAAGGUGGUCAGUGAAAGGUAUUUGGAGAUGGGGUGACAUGGUCAUAUCUUGCUCAUUCAUUGAUAAUUUUAGAAGCUGCUUGGACAGACUGGAUGGAUGUCAUCUGUGUUUGGGGAAGAACAGUUUGUCGUAAGCAAAAUUUGGAUAGUGUGGAUGGGAGAGAGAGAGGGAGAAAUUGAAGAUGACACCUACCUGUAUGCCUGGGUGAUGUGGAGAAGGUGGUGGUGUCAAUACUAUCACCAGUUCUGACAGGCACCUAUGAAGACGUUCAGUUUUGUUGUGGUUCAGGGGAUGGACAAAAACACAUUACAUUUAAUUUACCUGUUUUCUUCUACAUCUCCCUUUGGGGGGGGGAGCUAGGAGACUAAAGCUUUAAUCUUUUAUCUAGCAGGUGAUAUUGAUCACUAUCCUUUCAAAGGCUGUUUUUCCUACAAGUUGAUUUUUAUAGAUGUGAAUUCAGUGAGGGUUCUGUCACUUGGUAGCAUGCCAUCAUGUGACAUAAAACUGUAUUGAGAUAGUGUUUAGCAUGAUUUGAAAAACUAGCAAAUUGAAUGAUUGAAGCAAGAUAUAAAGAUCUCAUGUACAGAAAAUAAAACUGAAGGAAGUAGAAACAGUGCCCCGAGACUGAUCCCAAUAAGAUUUGUCAUGGACUGGAAAAGCUUGAAGAUAGAAGUAGAAAAAACUGCAAGUAACAAAAAUUCUACAUGUUCUCACCCAUAAAUGUUUUUUUAUGGAAGUAUUGUCCAUACAAGGUCUCCUUGAGUUGUUUUGAACUGUAUUUUAAGCAUAUAGUAAAAAGAACCUCUUUGUCUUUCAGGUGUGGAUGGGAUUGUGACGGGUUCCCCCUGAGGUGCCACCUGGAACUGGUGUACCAUUGAGCCACCUGACUCACCAACCUGGGUUCCCUCUCACAUUGUAGUGCUGUAGCAAGCUGCAAAAUCUUACAUCCUACACUUUCACCAGUGUUCACACAGAUGCGUUUGUUGAAGAAUUGGGCCUAGUUGCAUUUUGAAAAUUGCUGUUUGUGAGGAAGAGAUGGCAAUCAGAGCCACCACUUCUGAUUCCUGCCAUUCCCAGUGGGUAAAGGAGUAGACCUGGGACCCCUACUAAGACUUAUCAACACUUCUUUUUAUGAACUGAAUCUACAGCCCACUGUAAAACAUGCAAUAAUUCAACUGGUGCUAAAAAAAAAAUCUCUGAGGUCUCAAAACACCCUCCGUUGUCUCAGCUCUGUUUCUAAGCAAGCUUACACAGGAGCUAGUAAACCAGUGUCUCAUGCCUCCUGCUAGCUACUAGCAUACUGAACCCCUCCAUCAAGCCAGAGCAUAGUACAGACAUGACACUUGUUGCUCUCGUGGAAUUUUGUCCUGUCCAUAGACAAAUGAAGUACAUUCUUCUUCCUCUUGUUGGUCCCCCCCCACAGCAUUUGCUACCACUCAUCAUCUAAUGCUCUUCUCCAGUCAAAUGUAAACUCCCUCAUAUAUCUCCUCUUAGGCCACAACUACAGGGUUGUUAUGGGUAACUGUUAUUUGGCCUUCAAUUCUCUCACCUGCAAAACAACACGAAGUUCAAUAAUUUCUCCCAUGUUAUCUGAGCUCUCUCUGAAGAUGACAAAACAAGUACUGAUGGAUGAUGCUCAGUUAUAUAUCUUUGUCAAAUAAAUACAGAGCCAUAAUCACCCAAUUUUUCAAUGCCUAACUGAAAUGGCACUUGGAAGAAGAGCAGAUGGCUAAAGCUGAAUACCGGCAAGACUGAGGUGAUAUUGGUGAGAAGAGGAAAGCACUUUGAAGAGCUGGCUACUGCUGAUACUAUUUACCAUUUGCAAAGAUAUCCGCCCUCCGUUUCAGUUGGCCUGCAGCCUUGGCAUUCUUUUGAAGACCUUAGUACUACCAGAUGCCCAUGCAGCACAUACAAAACAACAACAUGCGCCACAGCAAAAAAACAAAAACCCCCACUGUUUUGGGACACAGAUCUGGCCACAGUGAUCCACCCAUUUGUGAACUCAAGGCUUCAUUAUUACAAUUUGUUGCAACUAGCAGCAAAUUUAUUUAUUUAUUUAUUUUUAUUUUAAGCCAUACGCUAAAAAAAACUCCAGCAGUUACAAAAUGCAGCAGCCCAUCAAAACUUGCCACAGAAUUGGCGGCAGCUACCUGAGAGUCCUCCUCACCUUUCAUGACCAUGAUCUCCUAAAACAACUAUGGUCCUCUGGAACAAUGAAAUUAUUGACUAAUAGAGGGAGUGCUUUGAGCUCAAACAGAACUUUCACAAGUGCAGGAUCUAAACUAUGAAACACACAGCCAGAUGAGAUGGCUAGCAUAAAAAAAGAACAUGAAAUAGUACCUGGUUUUCAGAGGAUGGUGUUUCCCAACUAUGUAGUUGUCAUCAAUGGUACUCAUGUGCCCAGAAUUUGUCCAUCACAAGGAGUGUGAGUAUGUGAACCACAAAGGAUAUAUUUCAUCAUUCUGCAAGCAUUGGUGGACCACAGAGGGUACCUAGAAUGAGUUUACAGCUUGGGAUGGGGUUUCUGAUAUGAAGGGCGGAAGCAGGAUCCAAUAGACGUGGUUACAUCAUUUGGGUCCCUCUCUCUGGCCUGGUCUAGUCAGGACAUCUCUGAGGAUCAGGAUGAUAACGGCCUGUGGUCCCAUGAGAUGGUGGGGAUGACAGCCAUUAUGAUGAAGCUUGCUGUAGUAGCCAAUUUUUCACUCAAAGUCUCUUCAAGGAGCCACAAAGAGAAGGGUAUCCAAGUGAUGUGCAGCCCCUGUAGAGAAGAGGCAGAAGGAAAAAAUGGACAGACAGAAAAUGGACAGUUGUGAAUCUUCGAAAAGAUGAGGAAACAUGUUUACAUGUGAUCUUAUGUGGAGAUGAUUAGAAAUCUGAUGCUAUAUUUUCUCACUGGAAAAUGCUAAUUCAUCAAAAGUGAAAUGUUUUGCAGAAAUGUUUCAAUUUCAACAAGUUUGUUUCAAAAGAAAAAUGCGGGGGGGGGGGGAGAGUAUUGAUAAGGUUGAACCCUUUGAUUAACUCCUUAGACUGUGAAUAUGUUCUGCUGGAUUGGACCCUAGGAUGGGGUAUGCCAGGCCUUUGUGGCUCAUUGCUGGAGGACAAGUUGCUCUACUACACCCUGUCCCAGGAAGCAGUAAGGCAGGAGGAAAAGAGCACCAAAGCUCUGUCCUUCAGGGCUUCCUACAAUGGCUUUACGAGAGCAGUCAUCUCGUGCAUUAGAGAGGCCUGGUCCUCCAAGGGGUAGCAACAGCCAAUCAGAGGCCAGCAGGCUCAGAUAAAAGGAGUUGCUGGGCUUUAGCUGGUCAGUUUCUGGCUGGGACUUGAGUGAAGAAGGUUGCUUCUUGCUGCCUUGGAGCUAGAGCAGAACCGGAGGGCUGGAGAUAAGGGCUCCAGUAGGAAGAGGUCCAGGGAAAUAGCAGUGAUGGAUUGGAGUAAGCACUACAUGGCUACUGUGUAUAGGGUGCAUGGGUUGGAACCCAGAGUAGUGGUCAGGUCUGGGUUCCCCCACCAGCCACAGGUAAAGUGCCAUAAACCCCAAAAGGACAAGCCUUAUCUAGGAGCCCAAAAAAGGGCUGAAUUUUAAGGACUCAGGGCUGAAGACCUAGUGAGGGCAAAUAGACUAUUUAGUUACUGCAUUCUUUAGUACCCCAGAAGGGGUUCAUUUAGACUUGGUGACUUGACUGGAGGACCAAGCCACUGAAGACUUUCCAAUAUCAGCAGAGUUUUGGGAAGAUGAGAGAAGUUGAAUGGGGAUGCAGCAGUAACUUGAAGUAUGUGUAUGGGGGUGGGGGUUGAUUGGGGUGCCCAGGGUCUGUGUGAGGAGACAUUCCCACUGUUCCUUCUGCUUCCCAAGGGAUGAGGCAGCAGCACUGUGUAAGGGCAUUAAAGUGUCAAAGGCAUGGUACAGAGUCAAUUCUCUCUCUCUCUCUCCAAGCCCUGGCAUUCCCUUGGGUUCCAAUCCCCCUCUCCCCCCCAACCUCUUUCUCCUCCAUGUCGCCUUCUCGUUCCCAUUCACCCCCUUCCCACCUUCUCCCUCUGCACUCCAUACUUGGUUCUCCAGGUGCACCCUGCACCAUUUGUGGAAGAGGUGGUGGUGUCAAAGUGGUCUAGGUGCAUUGAGAGGGCACAGGGGGUGAGUCAGAAGGAAAGAGGCAAGUAGAGUUGUGUGGAGGAAACAUGAGGAAAAAAAGCAUGCCUUGCGCUAGAGGGGGCAGGGACAGGACGAGGUGGAAGAGAAAGGAUAUCUGUUGUAGUAAACUGUGUGUUGUAUUCUUAAAUCUCACCAUAAAUACAACACACACCUGCACUCACGUAUGCUGAUUUCAAUUUGUAAUUGCUUAAAAUCUGAUUACAUUUUUUGUACAAGUGUGACAGCAUACAUCAACAAUGCAUACAAUUCCUCAACGUUACAGCAAAACAUAAAUGGUAACCACCAUUUACAAUCUGACCCCUCUCUCUCUCUCUCUCUCUCUCUCUCUCUCUCUCUCUCUCUCUCACACACACACACACACACACACACACACACACACACACACACACACACACACACACACACACACAAACUAUGCAAAAUAUAACUUACGAAAGCCACAUAGCUUUAUACAGUAUUAAUCAAAGCAUAUCCUCAUUAACAAAAAACAUGGUUUGAGUUCACAGGUGCAUCAGUGGUCCUGUGACUGGGUGGGUAUGUGUGGGUGGUGAAAGGAAGGUGAUCAGUGAAAUGUUGAUGGGGCAGUGAGUGGCUUAACUGUUUCUUUUCCCUGGCUUGUUUCAUUUGUAUUGCUGGACUAUGCUGUCUAGCAAUUUUAACACAAAGUUUGGUCUUGUCCUCACUUAAAAGUUCUGCUGCUUUAACAAUGCUGGCAAAAUCCCCCUAGUGUGGAUGCAGUUAUGCCAGAAUAAUGUAUUCCAUUUUGGGAACCAAAUUAAACUACACUGGCAUGGAUCUUUAUUCUGGUAUAACUGGGUUUUUACUGGCAUAACUGGUUUAAAAAAAAUCACAUCCCUAACUGACACGGCUAUGCCAGUAAAACUUUUAAUUAUAGACCAGCCCUUAAUGAUGAUUUUUGUGUAAAGGAUAUAACAUAAACACUUUUAUAUGUGUAUUCCAUUAAAAAAAACAGUAUUAAAAAGCCAUUGCAUGAUUAAGCGCUCAGAAGUCAGGAAAUAACACUUAAGAUCAUAUAUGCAACCUUGAUUAUAUGAAUUACAAUAAUUUUUCCAAUAGACUUUUUUUAACAAAAGUAGAUGUGUACAUAUAAUUUUGUAUUAAACAUUCCUUGAAAGUCAUUUAUAUAAAAAAUGUGUAAAUUAAACCUUAGACACCUGAAAGGAAAAACUGUACCAUAUUGUAUUAAUUGAGAAAUAGUGUGUGAUUAUGCCCAUUAUUGGAGAGUAAUGCAUAUGUACAAAGGGGCAGAGUCACAUUGGCAUGUGCAACCUUAACUGUGGCAUUUCCUGAGU